rnacentral:lncRNA from 1 species
AAAUUUCGUAUUUUUAUCUCCCGCCAAAAGCCAGUCGGCUCUAGAUCUCUGCUUCCAAUACACUUCAUCAUCAGCUAGCAAAUUGUCAAUAUGAUUUUCCAGCCCCUGAUUCUGUCCCCAUUCACAUAAUGGUCAUAGUUUCUUUUCAAGUUCUUCAGCUCCUUUAUUAGCUUCUUAACCUUUUUUUCUCUCCCCCCAAAUUCAGUUGAGCUCCACAAUUUUAGAUCAGCCAUGGACUUCUUUGUGGCUUUUUUAAAAACCUCUAUGGCAUCUCCACCCUCCCAUUUACUUUGUUCCCACCACUCUCUUUUCACAAUCUCUUGGCAUUUUUCGUACGGACUCCACAUGUCUUCAUAGUACAUUCUUGGAAAAGUUUUUUUCUCAUAUCUGACUCUUCUCCCCCUUUCCACUACUUCCAUAACAAUAGAGUAAUGGUCUGAGCUCCAUGUUU